rnacentral:tRNA from 1 species
GGGCGAGUAGCUUAGCACGGUUGGAGCACCCGGCUGAUAACCGGGAGGUCGCCAGUUCGAAUCUGGCCUCGCCCA